AGUGAACGCUGGCGGCAGGCUUAACACAUGCAAGUCGAACGGCAGCACAGUAAGAGCUUGCUCUUCCGGGUGGCGAGUGGCGGGCGGGAGAGGAAUACAUCGGAAUCUACUUUUUCGUGGGGGUUAACGUAGGGAAACUUACGCUAAUACAGCAUACGACCUACGGGUGAAAGCAGGGGAUCUUCGGACCUUGCGCGAUUGAAUGAGCCGAUGUCGGAUUAGUUAGUUGGCGGGGUAAAGGCCCACCAAGGCGACGAUCCGUAGCUGGUCUGAGAGGAUGAUCAGCCACACUGGAACUGAGACACGGUCCAGACUCCUACGGGAGGCAGCAGUGGGGAAUAUUGGACAAAGGGCGCAAGCCUGAUCCAGCCAUACCGCGUGGGUGAAGAAGGCCUUCGGGUUGUAAAGCCCCUUUGUUGGGAAAGAAAAGCAGCAGGUUAAUACCCCGCUGUUCUGACGGUACCCGAAGAAUAAGCACCGGCUAACUACGUG
rnacentral:rRNA from 1 species